UUGACCUCAAAUCAGGUAGGACUACCCGCUGAACUUAAGCAUAUCAAUAAGCGGAGGAAAAGAAACUAACAAGGAUUCCCCUAGUAACUGCGAGUGAAGCGGGAAAAGCUCAAAUUUGAAAUCUGGCGGUUCUGAACUGUCCGAGUUGUAAUCUAGAGAAGUGUUACCUGUGCUGGACCGUGUACAAGUCUCCUGGAAUGGAGCAUCAUAGAGGGUGAGAAUCCCGUCUUUGACACGGACUACCUGUACAUUAUGGUGCGCUCUCGAAGAGUCGAGUUGUUUGGGAAUGCAGCUCAAAAUGGGUGGUAAAUGCCAUCUAAAGCUAAAUAUUGGCGAGAGACCGAUAGCGAACAAGUACCGUGAGGGAAAGAUGAAAAGAACUUUGGAAAGAGAGUUAAACAGUACGUGAAAUUGCUGAAAGGGAAACGCUUGAAGUCAGUCGCGUUGGCUAGAAAUCAACCUAGCUCUUGCUCGGUGUACUUUCUGGUUGACGGGUCAGCAUCAAUUUUGACCAUCGGAUAAAGUCUUUGGGAAUGUGGCAUCUUCGGAUGUGUUAUAGCCCAUUGUCGCAUACGGUGGUUGGGAUUGAGGAACUCAGCACGCCGCAAGGCCGGGUUUCGACCACGUUCGUGCUUAGGAUGCUGGCAUAAUGGCUUUAAUCGACCCGUC
rnacentral:rRNA from 2 species